rnacentral:snoRNA from 1 species
AACCCAUGGUGUGGGCAUUGCUUAGUGUAGCUCCUGAAUCUCUCCCAUGCUUCACCAAAACUCUCAUUACUAUGUUGACUGAAGCUGUAGAUUUGGUUUCUUAGCUU